rnacentral:tRNA from 1 species
GCCCCCGUGGCCCAACGGGAGAGGCGGGCCCCCUAAAAGGGCCUUUGGUGUCGGUUCGAAUCCGACCGGGGGCACCA